AACUUAAGAUUCAAAUAUAAAGUAUUUUUAAACUUUUAUUAAAAU
rnacentral:tRNA from 3 species